GUGACGGCUGCUAAAUCAGCGGGAUCACACGUUGUCUCUCUAAUAACAACUGUCAAGCGUGUUUCCGCUUAUAUUUGACAUUCACCGAAUUCAAUGGCAGAUUAUGAUGGGCUUAUCACCGAUUGAUGUGGUAGUCAUUUUGGCUUUCGUGGGCGGAGUAACUAGUUUAGAAUGUUGACACUGUAUGUCCAAUGACUGCGGUUCGGACCCCUCCAACAACUACAAGGCCUCCAAGAGACCGUGUGCGGAACAACAGUCAUGCCAGAAAGUGUAUUUCGAAAUGAUAGCGGAAACGGACAAAGGCACAUUUAUUCACUCUUCCAUUGUACGAGAAUGUGCCUCGAGAUGCAAAUCACGUGAUGAUUUCGGGAAUUGUACUCAUCAAUUGGAUACAUAUUCACAUAUCAGGUGAAAUACAAUUGUGGCCUAUUACUGUUAACUCCUAUUGGCACCACAUUUGUUUGUCAAACUAGUUUUUCCCGGGAUAUAAAGUUGCUCGAUUGUAUUACCGCCAUAUGAAACAA